ensembl:lincRNA
GGAUUAAUAAAUAUCAAAUUUAAUAUCAUUUUCCUCAAAUCAUCUGAUUUUUAAUUUAAAAUAUAUUUUAGGUGGAGGAAGAUAGGAAAGAAGGAAAAAGUAAAAAAAGGAGAAAAGGAGGAAAAACUGGAAAAAAGGUUUUGUAAAUGGGGAGGAAAGGAGGGGUUUAAGGGAGGGUAGGGGAAUGAGAAAAAAAGAAUCAAGUUAUAUCAUGUACCCAUACAAAUUCUCUGUGAUGAAUAUGAUCAUUAUGUAUAUCUAAAAUGUAACCAAUAAAAUCUGAUUUAAAAUUUUUUCAAUAAAAAAUAUUUUAAUGUCUUCCAAUAGCAAAACAUGAAGUCUUUACUAAGAACUAAUUCAUAUUAACACUUUGCCUUAUUAAUUUCACAUAUUGUGUGUAUAUGAUAUUACUCAAAAAGUUCACUUCUUUUUACCCAUCCAGAAUCCAUUUCUGUCAUGCAUGGUAGCACAUGCCUGUAAUCCUAGCACUGGGGAUGCUGAAGCAGGAGGAUUGCUAUGAGCUUGAGGCAAACCUGGGCUACAUAGUGAGUUCAAGGCCCUGAACCAUAGAGCAAGAACCUGUCUCAAAAAAAAAAAAAAAAAAAAAAAAUCCUAUCCUUCCAUCUUGGUAUCUACUAUCAAAAAUUAGUUUAUAAUUUUCUGUCUCUAUUUUUAUGUCUUUGCAACAUACACAUAGGAAUAAACAUACUAUAGUAUUUUGGAAAAGGUUUAAUUCAUGUAUGUUAACAUUCUGUUAUAUCUCUGAAAUGUGCAUUUGUUCCUGAGAUGUAUCCACUCUGGUACAUAUGAAUCAUUCUUUUAACCACCAAGUAGUGUUAUGAUUGGUGAACAUUAGUAAUGUAUUUAUCCAUUCUCCUAUUGGUUGCUAAUGUAAGUUGUUGCCAUCUCUUUUUCUGUUGGGAAUUCUGUAGGAGCAGCCUCACAUGUAUCUCCUCCUGAAAGUGUGUGUGAGUUUUCCUACGCAGGUGGACCCCUACACAAGGACUUCCUGGAUUGUGUGUAAUGCAUGCUUUUAUUUCUUUCUUGGAGCUAUCAAAUGGAUCUCCAAAGUAACUUUGAGAAAACAACUAAAUAAUGUCUUUAGUCCUCAUCUAUACUGUUUAGAUAAUAUAGGAAAUGAUAAGUAUUUCCCCAGGUUGUGAGGAUUAAAUGUGCAUGUGGGCGUAGUGUCUAUAAAAGUUCCUGGUAACAGCCUGAGUUAACCUGGAGGAUAGUAUAUGAAGUGAAAUAAGCCAGGCAUAGAAAACCAAUUACUGCAAGACUUCUCUUACAUGCAGAAUCUGAAAAAGCCAAAGUCAUGGAAACAGAGUAGGAUUGUGGCUGUCAGGACCUAGGGUAUGAGAGGAAUGGGGUAUUGUUGAUAAAGAAUACAAAGAAAAAGUUGACAGAAUAAAGGAGAGAAAGAGAAAAAAAGUGCCUGGUAAAGAAUAAGCAUGCAAUGGCUGAUGAUCAUAUUUACAUCCUCUUCUGCUCUGACAUUUGUUACUGACUACUUUUGAGCAAGAUGUUGAUUUUCUCAGGGAGAUAUUAAAGGAUGUAAUAAAACAACACUUGUUGUUUUAUGAAUAUAUUAGUAACAUCCAACCUCUUGCCAGCUGAGGAGAGUUCUCCAUUUAAAUUAAUAUUCUGUAACACAUCUCUCUGUUUACCAGUGUGCUUGUGAAUCAGAGUAAUAAUGAAAAAAUGGAAGACAAUAAAAUGGAUGUGACAAGUUUUAAAGCAUGCUUUUAAGUAGGUGAUAACUGAUUGAUUGCAAUCGAGUAUGGAAAG